rnacentral:rRNA from 1 species
UACAGAGGGGGCAAGCGUUGUUCGGAAUUACUGGGCGUAAAGGGCGCGUAGGCGGCCUUCUAAGUCGAACGUGAAAUCCCCGGGCUCAACCCGGGAACUGCGUCCGAUACUGGCGGGCUUGAAUUCGGGAGAGGGAUGUGGAAUUCCAGGUGUAGCGGUGAAAUGCGUAGAUAUCUGGAGGAACACCGGUGGCGAAGGCGGCAUCCUGGACCGACAUUGACGCUGAGGCGCGAAAGCCAGGGGAGCAAACGGG